AUCAACAGUAAUCCUGCUUAUAUUAAUGGCAAUAUACAGUAUAUAUAAAUAUAUAUAUAUAUAUCAAUAUAUAGUGCAUUCCAAGAUGGUAUUAAAGAGCCUAAAUUCCUUAGAGGGAGGAUUAUGUAAUGGAUACCUCACCCGUUUUAAAGCUAAGCCUUUUCUUUGUGUCUUCGCUACAUGCCUUCCGUUAGCCUUUAAAAGGAGCGCUUGUUUUGAUGGACUGUGGUGACGUGAGUGUGCCAAGCCUGCAGGUCAGGUGCGUUUGGGUCCGUGAGACUCUCAACCUCAAUCGGCUGAUCAAUUUCAGUCGGUCGGGCCGGUCAAUCAACGCGUGCUGUUGCCACGGAGUCCGAAAAAGCCCUGAGGGACGUCUGGAAUCUCAGGACGAAAGAAUCAGACGAGAGUCGGCCUCCGUUGGCCGUCACACUGACCGAUUUCAACGCUCCUCUCGGGAUGUGAGGUGUCCUCUGCGGCCGUACCCCCAAAAACAUCUGGUGGACGCCCGAACGCAAACUCCUGCAGGAUCCUGCAGCUGAGCGGCCUUUCAGAGAACCCGGCUAACAGUAAGGAGCUAACGUUAGCGCACACAAUAACCACAACACGCACACACACAUCGGGUCAGGCUUCAACACCAACCAGGCCCUUCUAUCAUUCAUUCCCUCUGAAGUACUCUUCACCCCCCCUCUCGGGGAACACAGGGUUCAUGACCUGUCACCUUUUCCCGCUGACUGCCGGUAAACGGUCCCCCGUCUGUUUUGGUGGCCUCGCAAAACACCCGGUGACACAAGUGGCGUGAGGCCUUCUUCUUGGUUGGUGGCUCGUGGUUCGUGCCGAGUGGUCCCAGUGGUCCCAGCUAGCUUUUUCAUCACGCGCCUUUUUUUUUUUUUUACCGCCGAGAGAAACGCGUUCCGUCUCUUUGGCGAUCAGCUGAACAGCCUGCGCCCCCCUCCCCCACCCCCCACCCCCCCGCCGCUCUUGUCUGAUUACAUUUCUUCUUAUUGCGGCUUCACCUUUUAAGCGAGGGGUCCUUUUGUGCGGCGAGAGAAAAGGAGGCGCGGGGAGGAGGUGACAGCCGAGAUAAAGGAAGCAAGGGAAAGGUCACCUUCAGACCAGAGGCCCGCUGGGGUGAAAAAUGUCCCUCUGAUUUCUGUUACCGCGUGUGCGUGUGCGUGUGUGUGUGCGUGCGUGCGUGUGUAUGUGCGUGCGUGUGUUAAAUAAGGCCUCAGCCAAAUAGGUCAUUUGCCCUUGAAGGAACAACUCAAGAGUGAGUAGGAGCCUUUUUUAAAACAUUUUUUACAAUGUCCUAUUUCACAGGACAAAUAACAAGGAAACACACACACACACACACACACACACACACACACACACA
ensembl:lncRNA